CCUUACACAUGCAAGUCGAACGGCAGCAUGAUCUAGCUUGCUAGAUUGAUGGCGAGUGGCGAACGGGUGAGUAAUACAUCGGAACGUGCCCUGUAGUGGGGGAUAACUAGUCGAAAGAUUAGCUAAUACCGCAUACGACCUGAGGGUGAAAGUGGGGGACCGCAAGGCCUCAUGCUAUAGGAGCGGCCGAUGUCUGAUUAGCUAGUUGGUGGGGUAAAGGCCCACCAAGGCGACGAUCAGUAGCUGGUCUGAGAGGACGAUCAGCCACACUGGGACUGAGACACGGCCCAGACUCCUACGGGAGGCAGCAGUGGGGAAUUUUGGACAAUGGGCGAAAGCCUGAUCCAGCAAUGCCGCGUGUGUGAAGAAGGCCUUCGGGUUGUAAAGCACUUUUGUCCGGAAAGAAAUGGCUCUGGUUAAUACCUGGGGUCGAUGACGGUACCGGAAGAAUAAGGACCGGCUAACUACGUGCCAGCAGCCGCGGUAAUACGUAGGGUCCAAGCGUUAAUCGGAAUUACUGGGCGUAAAGCGUGCGCAGGCGGUUGUGCAAGACCGAUGUGAAAUCCCCGAGCUUAACUUGGGAAUUGCAUUGGUGACUGCACGGCUAGAGUGUGUCAGAGGGGGGUAGAAUUCCACGUGUAGCAGUGAAAUGCGUAGAGAUGUGGAGGAAUACCGAUGGCGAAGGCAGCCCCCUGGGAUAACACUGACGCUCAUGCACGAAAGCGUGGGGAGCAAACAGGAUUAGAUACCCUGGUAGUCCACGCCCUAAACGAUGUCAACUAGUUGUUGGGGAUUCAUUUCCUUAGUAACGUAGCUAACGCGUGAAGUUGACCGCCUGGGGAGUACGGUCGCAAGAUUAAAACUCAAAGGAAUUGACGG
rnacentral:rRNA from 1 species